rnacentral:rRNA from 1 species
CGGAAGGAUCAUUAACGAGAGGGGGGCUUCGCGCUCCAGGGGUUCACGCCCCGUACCUUUCCACCCUGUGUAUACAAUCCACUGUUGCUUUGGCGGGCCCCGGGGUCCUCCCCGGCGCUAGUCCCCUAAACACGGGCUCGCGAGUGCCCGUCGGUGGCCCAUUUAAAAUCUGUUUUAUCAGUGAAGUCCGAGUAUAGACCAAUAAACUAAAACUUUCAACAACGGAUCUCUUGGUUCUGGCAUCGAUGAAGAACGCAGCGAAAUGCGAUAAGUAAUGUGAAUUGCAGAAUUCAGUGAAUCAUCGAAUCUUUGAACGCACAUUGCGCCCUUCGGAAUUCCGAGGGGCAUGCCUGUUCGAGCGUCAUUAAACCCUUCAAGCAUGGCUUGGUAUUGGGUGCUCGCCCCCCCGCUUUCCAGGGGAGCGCACCCGAAAUUUAGUGGCGGUCCAGGGAGACUUCAAGCGUAGUAAAAAUUUUUCGCUUUUGAAGCUUUCGAUCUGUGACCCUGCCAGCGAACCCCUUUACAUCUUUAAGAAUUGACCUCGGAUCAGGUAGGGAUACCCGCUGAACUUAAGCAUAUCA